GGCCCCCGGAGAUAUGGAACCACAGGGAGGUGGCAAGCGGCCGUGUCCCAGCGCCCGACAUUUUCCACAUCAAUGGAAGAACCAGUGUGGAUAAGAAGCAACUACAAAAAAACCUACCGCUAACAUCAUGCUUAAUGGUGAGAGACUGAACACUUUCCUGCUGAGAUAGGAGCAAGGCAGGGAUGUCUGCUCUUACCACUCUCCUUCAGUAUAGUACUGGAAACUCUAGCCACUGCAAUAAGGCAAGAAGAAUGAAAAGGUAUUGAAUCCAAAAAAGUGUUCUAGGGAUGGAUGGUGGUGAUGGUUGUAUAACAGUAUAAACAUGUUGCUGAAUUGUACACUUAAAAAUGGUUAUAAUUGUAAUUUUUGUUAUGCAUAUUUUACCACAAUAAAAAAAAAAUCAUACACAAAAUGGCCCAAGAAGAAGCAGAAAGUUUAAAUAGUCUACCAUAGAAAAUAUUGGAAACAUGAUUAAAGAUGCAACCUUUAAAAAAAAUCACUAGGGCCAAAGGGUUUCACAUCUUUGUUUUAUGUUUUAACAACAGCAACAAAAUGCCAAUGUUGUUUAAACUAUUGUAAAGCACAGAACAAAAUGCAAAGCUGUAUUUGUUUUAUGAAGCCAGCCCAACAUUAAUACCAAAACCAGAUAAAUAUAAAUACGAAAGAACAAGAACCAUAGACUAAUUUCAAUGAUGAAUAUUGACACAAAAAUUCUUAAUAACAUUACCUAAUAGAAUACAGCAUUUAUCAGAAGAAAAAUACAGUGUGAACAAGUGGGUUUGUUCCAGGAAUGCAAGGAUGGUUUCAUAAUUUGUUGUACCAACAAAUUAAGGGAGAAAAACUCAUGAUAAUGUUAAUAGCUGCUGUGAAAAGGCAGUCAUUCUUAUUUUCUGGUUUUUAUUAGAAACUAGGAAAUAGAGAAGGGCAUUCGUUAUCUUCCAACCAUAGUCAUGCAUUGAACCACCAUGGGUUCUGUCAAUUUGUCAACCCAUUGAAAAUGUAGUCUAAGCAGUUACCUGUGAAGGGUGUGGGGGCUAUUAACUGAAGCCUUAUCACUGAGGGACAGUGCACUAUAGGAGCAGCUGAUUAAGUUGCUUGAAAUAUUUUGGUCCUUCUUGCUGGUGAACCUUUCUGGAAGCAAGCCCAGCCGUGGCAGUUACUGGGUCACAUCAAAAGAAAUUCUCUUAUUAGUCAAGCCUAAUCAUUAAGAAUAAUUCAUUUCUAACAACACACAUUUCAAAUCACCUCUCCAAAUUAUUUGUGAUUAUUGCUAUUUGACAGCCCAUCCCCAUAUCCUUGUGUUGAUUGGACUGUUGGCCCCAGUGCAGGAAUUACCAUCUGCCCCUUUGCAUUUCAUCUUUUUAAUAUCAUCCUAUUUUUCCAAUCUGAGGUUGUGUUGGAUCCUGAUUUCUGACAGCCAAGGAAUUUACUCCCUUGCUGCUGCUUGUCACCUGCUGUCUGAUUAAAAUGCCAGUAGACAAAACAAAUUUCCAACAAGGAAAGAAAGUUCUGAAAGCUUUUUAAACUAUAUAUUUUAAAAUGUAAAGUUUUAUUUUCUUAUUUUCCUUUGAUCAAUGGCAUCUUUUCUUCCCCAGGUUUUUUUUCCUGAAUGUCUUCAUCAAAUCAUAAGCCUGAGAAGGACUUAAAGUUUUCUGUCCCAAAUCCACAUCAGUCCAGGCCUUUGAAGCUCUCAGAGAAUAUUGUCUAUGAGAAGAGGCUCCUUAGGGGGCUUAGGAAAGUUGGUGAAGGGUCUUCUACCAUUUAAAACCCAAACAAGGGGCCGAGCAACCAAGAGUCCAGCAACUGCAGCUCCUUCACAAACAAGAUUUGAGAUCUUCAGAAAUCAUUUCACUGUUAGCCUUAUUAUUCUCUUUCAAAUUAAACUAUCAAAGACCCUU